UGUGACGAGUUUGAUCCUGGCUCAGAUUGAACGCUGGCGGAAUGCUUUACACAUGCAAGUCGAACGAUGAACCUUAGCUUGCUAGGGGGAUUAGUGGCGAACGGGUGAGUAAUAUAUCGGAACGUACCUUGUAAUGGGGGAUAACUAGUCGAAAGAUUAGCUAAUACCGCAUACGCCCUGAGGGGGAAAGUAGGGGAUCUUCGGACCUUACGUUAUAAGAGCGGCCGAUAUCUGAUUAGCUAGUUGGUGGGGUAAUGGCCUACCAAGGCGACGAUCAGUAGCUGGUCUGAGAGGACGACCAGCCACACUGGAACUGAGACACGGUCUAGACUCCUACGGGAGGCAGCAGUGGGGAAUUUUGGACAAUGGACGCAAGCCUGAUCCAGCCAUUCCGCGUGAGUGAAGAAGGCCUUCGGGUUGUAAAGCUCUUUCGCAAGGGAAGAAAACUUACACAAUAACACUGUGUGAGGCUGACGGUACCUUGAUAAGAAGCACCGGCUAACUACGUG
rnacentral:rRNA from 1 species